UGGCUUUGAAGCGUAUGUUGAAUUUCAAUGUGCCUCAUAUUAAAAACAGCACGGGAGAACCAGUAUGGAAGGUACUCAUUUAUGACAGAUUUGGCCAAGAUAUAAUCUCUCCUCUGCUAUCUGUGAAGGAGCUAAGAGACAUGGGAAUCACUCUGCAUCUGUGAGUUUUUACAUAUUUCUAAUAGUGGCAUUCAUUUAAAGAACAUUUAUAGAGAAAAAUAGUGUUAGGUUACAGUAUUUAUGUAGUGUUGAACAUUUUUUCCCUAUAUCUUCUUUUAUUCAACCCGUUAUUUCUGGGAUUUAAAAAAAUCAUCAGUCUGAGGCUUUAUAAUUUCAGAAUUUAAAUUUUCUGCCAUGUGGCUUUUCCUUAGACUUGGUUUCCCUUCUAUGUAAAGGAAAAGAACUAGUAAUCUUAAGGUCUUUUCCAGCUCUAAAAGUGUUUUGUUCCUUUAAUUUAAAUACACAGAUUCUCCUUGACCUGCAAUGGGGUUACAUACUUAUAAACCCAUCAUA
rnacentral:sRNA from 1 species